GGCGGGGUCUCAGGAGAUAGUGGAGAACUCCUUCAGCAGGACCUCCUGGCUGAGUGUGUGGAAGGCCAGGUUCCUCCGGACGUUGGUGCUAAUGGAUCGGACCUGGAGAAGAUAGGAUCUCACUAACUCACGAAGCUGCCCAGGUGGAGGUGGGAUCUGUGACCCUCCUGCCUCAGCCUUCCGCACUGCGAGGAUUACAGAGCAGGGAAGGACAACCCGAGAGACCAACUCUGAGCACCAAGUCCAAGUCUGACCAGGCCACCUUUGCUUC